rnacentral:rRNA from 1 species
GAUCCUGGCUCAGGAUGAACGCUAGCUACAGGCUUAACACAUGCAAGUCGAGGGGCAGCAUGGUCUUAGCUUGCUAAGGCUGAUGGCGACCGGCGCACGGGUGAGUAACACGUAUCCAACCUGCCGUCUACUCUUGGCCAGCCUUCUGAAAGGAAGAUUAAUACAAGAUGGCAUCAUGAGUUCACAUGUUCACAUGAUUAAAGGUAUUCCGGUAGACGAUGGGG